rnacentral:rRNA from 1 species
CACGAAGGGGGCUAGCGUUGCUCGGAAUCACUGGGCGUAAAGCGCACGUAGGCGGAUUGCUAAGUCAGGGGUGAAAUCCUGGAGCUCAACUCCAGAACUGCCUUUGAUACUGGCGAUCUUGAGUCCGGGAGAGGUGAGUGGAACUGCGAGUGUAGAGGUGAAAUUCGUAGAUAUUCGCAAGAACACCAGUGGCGAAGGCGGCUCACUGGCCCGGUACUGACGCUGAGGUGCGAAAGCGUGGGGAGCAAACAGG